UCCCCGAUGGUCUAGUGGUCAUGAUUUCCGCUUGUCAAACACGAGUUCUAGCUUUCACGAGCGCGGGAGACCAGGUACGUGGUUCGAUCCUUCACCGCAUUGAGCAAUCCCCUAACAUAAUGAUCAGGGUUCGAUUCCCUGUCGAGGAG
rnacentral:tRNA from 1 species